UACAGAGACUGCAAGCGUUAUUCGGAUUCACUGGGCGUAAAGGGUGCGCAGGCGGUUGUGUGUGUCAGCUGUGAAAACUCGAGGCUCAACCUCGAGACGUCGGUUGAAACCGUACGGCUAGAGUCCGGAAGAGGAGAGUGGAAUUCCCGGUGUAGCGGUGAAAUGCGCAGAUAUCGGGAAGAACACCCGUGGCGAAGGCGGCUCUCUGGGACGGUACUGACGCUGAGACGCGAAAGCGUGGGGAGCGAACAGG
rnacentral:rRNA from 1 species